AAAGGUUAAAGGAAGGAAAAAAAAGCAGCCAACUGCAAGGGCAACAUCUUCUUCAACUGCAUGAACAUCAUCUUCUUCAGUUGGAAUGCCACCAGCUCCUUUAGUUGGAAGAAAAAGAACAAAAGAUGUGAGAUUUGGUGUUUACACAGACAUACAAACUGGAAGACAAGUGAUUAACCCAGGAAGAUCAAGUGAAAGGGUUAUCUCAAGUGGAGCAGGGAUAGCAUUUAAAGAUGCAUCACAAACAAAUGUUGAUCUUGGAUUCAAGCCACCUGGUUUGAAAUGGAAAGGAAAAGAUGCAAUGACUAGAAAUCAACUUCAACAAUUGUAAAAAAAAAAGGUGCAAAGCAAAUCCAAGGGCAAGUGGGUUCCAUAAGAGUUUAAAGUGUUAAUGAUGUGUAUAAAUGUUGAUGUAGGAGGUCUUUGUUUUUGUUUAUUUUGAUAACUGUUUGUAAAGGCAUACUCCAAUUACUAAUCAUUUUGAUGUAUUUUGGGUUAUUUUGA